rnacentral:rRNA from 1 species
AUACGGAGGAUCCAAGCGUUGUCCGGAUUUAUUGGGUUUAAAGGGUGCGUAGGCGGAUCUUUAAGUCAGUGGUGAAAGCCUGCAGCUUAACUGUAGAACAGCCAUUGAAACUGAAGAUCUUGAAUUUGGUUAAAGUAGGCGGAAUGUAUCAUGUAGCGGUGAAAUGCUUAGAUAUGAUACAGAACACCGAUAGCGAAGGCAGCUUGCUGAACCAAUAUUGACGCUGAGGCACGAAAGCGUGGGGAGC